UGAAAAUUCUAAACAAAUUAAAAUAUCUUAUUAUAAAUCUACUAAUGACUAGGUCACAGCACAACUGCUAUAAGAUUUUUUAAACAAAUUUAUCUUGACUUCUAUAAGGGAUCUACAAAGAUGUAAGUUGCCCCCAGUUUGGAUCUGUUCUAUAGAACCAGAAAAACCAGACAGAGGCUCCACCCACCGAUCCCGACGUCAUCACAAUGCUUCUGCGCAUGUGCAGAAGAGCGCGCGUGCGCACAAGCAAAGCACAAGCGCACACGGCCCCAUUGAGAACUGGUAGUAAAGGAUAGACCCUGAUCUCAGGCAUUUCCCAAACAGAAUUAUUUAUAUUACACGAUUAAGGUACUUCUGGGCAGCACCACUCCAGGAGAAGGAAGAUUCAUCCAAGAAGAAGCAUACAGAAUUUAGCCUUUCUUUCUGUUAUACACCAUUUGUAUCAGAAAUAAAGUUAUUUAUUUUAUUUUAUUUAAGCCUUAUAUGUAGACGCCCAUCUCACAGCUUUGUGACUUUGAAAGACAUAUAAAAAUAUCAUUCAUCAUGCCACUCCUUAAUGGAUUCCAUGUUACAAUCAAUUUCAUCCUUCUCA